rnacentral:lncRNA from 1 species
CAUCACCAAAAAACGAAUAUGUAGAGAUGACGUUUCUGGCCAGGUCUGGCUGAGCCAGGCUGCUCUGCUGGGCUCAGAGCAAACUACCACCAGCAACACUGUACUGACCAGGAGUUAACCACCUAGGAAAGGGCCCAUGGAUAAAGACAAUCAACAACUCUGAUCAAGGAAGAACAACAACUGUAGCCUUUUAGUUACAAGUUUUUUCUACCACUAUCACAGACUUAAAAGAGAGAGCAAGUAUGACUGGGGGGAGCAGCAGGACCCUGGGAUCAUGACUAAGCAGAGGAUUAACCAGCUGAGCCACCAGGUCAGUUAAGCCUGUUCACAGUAUUUAUCACAGUGUUUAUUACUGAAAU